rnacentral:misc_RNA from 1 species
UCCUGCUUGCGCGGCAGUCCGUCCAGAGUCCCCGGCAUGACCCGCUGGUAACUGAACGUAGGGGUUUCGCUCGUUAAAGGACUUAACCUAACACCUCGCGGCACGAGCUGACGACAGCCAUGCAGCACCUGUUCCGGUUACACCAUUGCUGGCAAGCACCGAGCUUUCACUCGGAUAAUCCCGGUAUGUCAAGACCUGGUAAGGUUCUGCGCGUUGCUUCGAAUUAAACCACAUCCUCCACCGCUUGUGUGAGCCCCCGUCAAUUCCUUUGAGUUUCAGCCUUGCGGCCGUACUCCCCAGGCGGGGUGCUUAAUGCGUUAGCUUCGGCACGGACGGAGUCGACACCGCCCACACCUAGCACCCAUCGUUUACGGCGUGGACUAC